GUGCUUGAAGGCAGUAUGCUUGGUAAAAGUCAUCGCCAUUCUCUAAUCUUGAGUACCCAGGGACACGAUACACUGCGGAAGGCUGCAGGGACCUCUGCCCAGGAAAGCCAGGCUUGCAUGAAGGAAAUGAUUUCCUAUGAUUCUGCUUACUGCUUAAAAAAAUUAAUCAAGUUUUCUGCCUGACAAAACAAGCCCUGUGAAAAACAAGCUGCUGUCCCUGCUAGAGGCAUCCUGCAAUCCAUGGAUGUUUAUCACCAAGCCAUUGUUAACAUGAGGGAGCCAGAAAAACUUCAUCUCUUUUACAAGAAACAUUGAGAUUCCUGUAAAAUUAAGAAAUCACACAAUUUGAUGGUCUACAUUAUCUAAAGCAAAUGAGACUUCUAUUUGGAACAAAGACUACCUUGUUGGGAAAUGAGUCUGCAAGUUAAAGUGUUUUCUGGGAUCACUCUAAGCUCCAGUGUCAAGGAGUCAAGUCCUUCAGGAAUUCUCUGCCUCCACUCCCUGUGGCAGAGCUAGAGUGGCUGCCAUGCUUCUGAGCUCAGCCAGCAUCCAGAGAGAGAGUGAGAUACAGCCUCCUCUUCUUGAAGCACCCACUUCUAAACUCUGUGACAGUUUUCUUGGAACUCUGUUAUGUGGAUCUGGAGAUGACAAUGUCACAGCACUCCCCUCUAAGCCUAAAUUCCCCCACACCGAUGAACUAUUAGGAUCCAGUAUCUGCCGGAGGAGCCCCACCUUCUGCUACUAUUAUGUUCUUCAGAUGAGUAGAAGAGAGUGGGGAGGGAGAGAGCAGGAAGAAGAAAGGAAGAAUAAUGUCUUGAAAUUGGUAAAAGCGUUUUUGUUUGCACAUCCUGCAUUAUUAAUAUUUCUUGUUUAGCAUAAUUAGCUACCCUCUCAAGCUUACACACAACCUGCAGUGUUUAUGCCUUCCGAUGAUAGCUAAACCAUCAGCAAAGCAGUCCAGGUCCCUGAAGGCUGAAUGCAGGUGGUUCUGAAGGCUGCAGGAUGCAUUCAAAAAGCAGGAUACAUAAGCUUUAAUUGUUGCUAAAAAUACAUUCACUAGAAGAAUCGGACUCCUUCUAUCUGUCUGGAGUGGAUAAAAGCCAACUAUGGAUUCAGUAGUCUAAAGAUGAUGCAUAUCAUAAAUUAUUACUCACCCCAUGUUCCCACCCUCGAGAGACCUCCAAACAAUCACCAUGCCACAGUGAACAUUCAGUAACAAAAAUUCAGCCAGGGUUUUCACCAGCAUGAAUGGCAGUGAUUCCAAUCAGGAAAACAGAAAGAGGAGAGUUCAGAGCCACCUAGAAUGGCUCUUGCAAGAUACGAAAUCAAGGCAGCAGCAACAGGGCUGAACAUUCCUCAUCCCUAACUCUCCCUUCACCAGUAGGAAACCCAGGAUAACUGCAAUCACCGCAGGCCCAUCUGGCCUGAAGUUCUACUACUAGUAGCCCUCCAUGGGACCUUCUUAAGGAAGCAUGUCAACUCAGGUAAGGGAUGUAAGGGGAUGGAUGACCCUUUGAGGCCAAAGUUGGAGCAAAAAACACCAGAUGUUCCUGUGCACUGCUCCUAAGAGAUGGUUCUGAAGACCAGUUCGGGGAGAGGUCAAAAUACUGGACAGAAUCUCAGCAACAUGGAACCUCAAACUAAGUGACAGUCACAGACAACUCUUCCCCAAAGAAAAUAAGCACAGACAUGGUUUGUGGUAAGCAGAAUUAUAAAGAUGAAUUCCCAUCUCCCUGUCAGAUUACCAGUAUGGUAAAUUACCAGAUUACCUGGUUAUUUAUUCAAACACUAAUACAGUUAUUGCCUUGAUGGAAACAUACAGAUACAAUUAAAAUCCCAAGUACCAAAUAAAUUGACCUUAAGACAAAGACUAAGUAAAUCACAUGAGCCCUCUACAAGCAGAGAGUUUUUCUCCAGCUGGUAGCAGAAGCCAGAGAUUUGAAGCAUAGGAAGUAUUCAACACAUUAUUGCUGGCCUGAAAAUGGAAGGGGCCACAUAACGAGGGAAACCGGUGGCCUCUAGAAGCAGGGAGCAGUCCCCUGCUGACAGACAGCAAGCCAAGACCUCAGUUCUACAAUUGCAAGACACUCAAUUCUGCUAAGGACAAAAAUGAGCUUGGAAGUGAACUCUGAGCUUCAGGUGAGAACACGGCCAAACAACACCUUGAUUUCAGCUUAAACAAAGAAUGCAGCCACUCCAUGCCAGAAUUCUGACCUGUAGAAAUUUGAGCUAAUAAAUAGAUGUU
rnacentral:lncRNA from 10 species